UACAGAGGGGGCAAGCGUUGUUCGGAAUUACUGGGCGUAAAGGGCGCGUAGGCGGCCUGCUAAGUCGAACGUGAAAUCCCUGGGCUCAACCCAGGAACUGCGUCCGAUACUGGUUGGCUUGAAUCCGGGAGAGGGAUGUGGAAUUCCAGGUGUAGCGGUGAAAUGCGUAGAUAUCAGGAGGAACACCGGUGGCGAAGGCGGGUCUCUGGGCAACUACUGACGCUGAGGAGCGAAAGCGUGGGGAGCGAACAGG
rnacentral:rRNA from 1 species